GGGCUCACUUCGGCAGCACAUAUACUACAACUGGAACCAUACAGAGAAGAUUAGCAUGGCCCUUUUACAAGGAUAACAUGCAAAUUCGUAAAGUGUUCCACAUUUUU